UACGAAAUAACGUUUAAUUUGGAGGUUUUUUAGUUUGGAAUGUUGAUUUUGAAUAUUUUCUUGAUUGAGUUCAGUUUAAAAAGUCGCUUUUCGUCUGUUUUUCGCGCUUAUUGCUUGCUAAUUCUUAGGCUUAGGAAAACUCAAAUAUCUGUUUAAACUAAAACUUACAACAAAGUCCGGUAGCAUGGUAGCGCCCCCGCUAACUCCGCCCAAAGGCGUGGCUUAUUGCUACAACAYUUUCUAUCGAUGUGCACACUUGAUUUCAAACYUUCUGAACAAUUUUCUUCGCGGUUUCAUUAGAAAAAAAAUGCUGGUCAAUCAUUACGAAACAUGUUGUUGUUGUUGUCGCUGUAAUUAUCGGUAUUUCCAGUAUUUGGAAGCCCGUCCAGGCUAAAUCGAGCCUCAAAAUGACAACAAAACCCGAUUGGCAGCUCUCAUUGUACAGGGUGUGGUGGGGCAGGCCGCCAUCGCCUAAUAAAACUUUGGCCGUCGAACAUUCAAUUGUUCGCCAGUGGACCAAGUGGUGCAAUUACGAAGAUCAUGGACGACGAUAACUCGGACUGGUUCUCAGCUGCCGACGAUGCUGCACCGGAACCCGCAG